GCUAUAGCUCAGUGGUAGCGCAUCCAUUUUGCAUAUGGAAAGUCCCAGAUUUAAUUUCUGGCAUCUGCU